rnacentral:rRNA from 1 species
CCUACGGGCGGCAGUAGUGAGGAAUAUUGGUCAAUGGUCGGGAGCCUGAACCAGCCAAGCCGCGUGAGGGAUGAAGGUACAGAGUAUCGUAAACCUCUUUUGUCAGGGAACAAAGGCGGGGACGUGUCCCCUUCUGAGUGUACCUGAAGAACAAGCAUCGGCUAACUCCGUGCCAGCAGCCGCGGUAAUACGGAGGCUGCGAGCGUUAUCCGGAUUUCUUGGGUUUAAAGGGUGCGCAGGCGGUCUGUUAAGUCAGCGGUCAAAGCCCGGGGCUCAACCCCGGCCCGCCGUUGAAACUGGCAGUCUCGAGUGGGAGAGAAGUAUGCGGAAUGCGCGGUGUAGCGGUGAAAUGCAUAGAUAUCGCGCAGAACUCCGAUUGCGAAGGCAGCAUGCCGGCUCCACACUGACGCUGAGGCACGAAAGCGUGGGUAUCGAACAGGAUUAGAUACCCGUGUAGUC